GCCCCAUUCGUCUAGUGGCCUAGGACGUAGCCCUCUCAAGGCUAAAACACGGGUUCGAACCCCGUAUGGGGCACCA
rnacentral:tRNA from 1 species